UGGGCGCAAGCCUGAUGCAGCCAUGCCGCGUUGUAUGAAGAAGGUCCUUCGGGUUGUAAAGUACUUUCAGCAGUGAGGAAGGUGGAUAUGUUAAUAGCAUAUUCAUUUGACGUUAGCUGCAGAAGAAGCACCGGCUAACUCCGUGCCAGCAGCCGCGGUAAUACGGAGGGUGCGAGCGUUAAUCGGAAUUACUGGGCGUAAAGCGCAUGCAGGUGGUUUGUUAAGUCAGAUGUGAAAGCCCGGGGCUCAACCUCGGAAUUGCAUUUGAAACUGGCAAACUAGAGUACUGUAGAGGGGGUAGAAUUUCAGGUGUAGCGGUGAAAUGCGUAGAGAUCUGAAGGAAUACCGGUGGCGAAGGCGGCCCCCUGGACAGAUACUGACACUCAGAUGCGAAAGCGUGGGGAGCAAACAGGAUUAGAUACCCUGGUAG
rnacentral:rRNA from 1 species